rnacentral:rRNA from 1 species
UGCGGGGGGGGCUAGCGUUGUUCGGAAUUACUGGGCGUAAAGGGCGCGUAGGCGGCCUACUAAGUCGGACGUGAAAUCCCUCGGCUCAACCGGGGAACUGCGUCCGAUACUGGUGGGCUCGAAUCCGGGAGAGGGAUGUGGAAUUCCAGGUGUAGCGGUGAAAUGCGUAGAUAUCUGGAGGAACACCGGUGGCGAAGGCGGCAUCCUGGACCGGUAUUGACGCUGAUGCGCGAAAGCCAGGGGAGCAAACGGG